UAACAGCUGAUCUGAAUUCAGAUAUCCACGGGAGAAGAAACACUUUUCCUGGCAAGUCCUCACUUGUGUGAAAUACUUUCACUUUAGUUUUGUCUGGUUAAAUGUGCCGUGAUUUACGCCAGAACAAAAGAUUCAUGCUGAACUUUUACCAUGUUUAACCGGUUGAACCAUCUGCUGUUGCUGCUUCUUUGCCUCGUUUAUCACAGCGAAACCUCCACUAUAUCUGUGUCAGGAGAAAACAGAGGAAACGUCACACUCAAAUGUGAACAUGAGGACAGUAAUAUUGUUCAGAUUAAGUUAUUCACUCCGUCAGAAAUCAUAUCUGUGUGUCAGACUGAAGAAUGUAGAGGACGAGUGUUUAAAGAAGGAAACUGUGACGUCGUCAUCAAGAAUCUGAUCUUCAGUGACGCUGGGAAAUACACUUUGAGAAUCGAUUACAAUAAUGAUCAGACAGAGCUGAAGUCAAAUAAUGAUCAGAUAGUGCCGAAGG